rnacentral:rRNA from 1 species
UACAGAGGGGGCAAGCGUUGUUCGGAAUUACUGGGCGUAAAGGGCGCGUAGGCGGCCUACUAAGUCGAACGUGAAAUCCCCGGGCUUAACCCGGGAACUGCGUCCGAUACUGGUUGGGCUUGAAUCCGGGAGAGGGAUGCGGAAUUCCAGGUGUAGCGGUGAAAUGCGUAGAUAUCUGGAGGAACACCGGUGGCGAAGGCGGCAUCCUGGACCGGUAUUGACACUGAGGCGCGAAAGCCAGGGGAGCAAACGGG